GAUGAACGCUGGCGGCGUGCCUAAUACAUGCAAGUCGAGCGAAUGGAUUAAGAGCUUGCUCUUAUGAAGUUAGCGGCGGACGGGUGAGUAACACGUGGGUAACCUGCCCAUAAGACUGGGAUAACUCCGGGAAACCGGGGCUCAUACCGGAUAACAUUUUGAACCGCAUGGUUCGAAAUUGAAAGGCGGCUUCGGCUGUCACUUAUGGAUGGACCCGCGUCGCAUUAGCUAGUUGGUGAGGUAACGGCUCACCAAGGCAACGAUGCGUAGCCGACCUGAGAGGGUGAUCGGCCACACUGGGACUGAGACACGGCCCAGACUCCUACGGGAGGCAGCAGUAGGGAAUCUUCCGCAAUGGACGAAAGUCUGACGGAGCAACGCCGCGUGAGUGAUGAAGGCUUUCGGGUCGUAAAACUCUGUUGUUAGGGAAGAACAAGUGCUAGUUGAAUAAGCUGGCACCUUGACGGUACCUAACCAGAAAGCCACGGCGAACUUCGUGCCAGCCGCCGCCGUAA
rnacentral:rRNA from 1 species